rnacentral:rRNA from 1 species
AACGAACGUUAGCGGCGCGCUUAACACUUGCAAGUCGAGCGAGAAGGGGGCAACCCCGGUAAAGCGGCGUACGGGUGAGUAACACGUAGGUAAUCUACCUCGAGGUGGUGGAUAACCUUCCGAAAGGAGGGCUAAUACAGCAUGAGACCACGCCUUCGAAAGAGGGUGAGGUAAAAGCGGGCCUCUCUACAGAAGCUCGCGCCACGAGAUGAGCCUGCGGCCCAUCAUGGUAGUUGGUAGGGUAACGGCCUACCAAGCCGAAGACGGGUAGCUGGUCUGAGAGGAUGAUCAGCCACACUGGAACUGAGACACGGUCCAGACUCCUACGGGAGGCAGCAGUGGGGAAUCUUGCGCAAUGGGCGAAAGCCUGACGCAGCGACGCCGCGUGAGUGAUGAAGGCC